rnacentral:tRNA from 1 species
GGGGAUUUAGCUCAGCGACAUAAGCGCCUGCCUUGCAAGCAGGUGGUCGUGAGUUCGAUCCCCA